GACGUAGGGCGCGAGCGUUGUCCGGAUUUAUUGGGCGUAAAGAGCUCGUAGGCGGCCUGUUGCGUCGGUUGUGAAAGCCCGGGGCUUAACCCCGGGUCUGCAGUCGAUACGGGCAGGCUAGAGUUCGGUAGGGGAGAUCGGAAUUCCUGGUGUAGCGGUGAAAUGCGCAGAUAUCAGGAGGAACACCGGUGGCGAAGGCGGAUCUCUGGGCCGAUACUGACGCUGAGGAGCGAAAGCGUGGGGAGCGAACAGG
rnacentral:rRNA from 1 species